GAUGAACGCUGGCGGCGUGCCUAAUACAUGCAAGUCGAGCGAACAGACGAGGAGCUUGCUCCUUUGACGUUAGCGGCGGACGGGUGAGUAACACGUGGGUAACCUACCUAUAAGACUGGGAUAACUUCGGGAAACCGGAGCUAAUACCGGAUAAUAUUUCGAACCGCAUGGUUCGAUAGUGAAAGAUGGAUUUGCUAUCACUUAUAGAUGGACCUGCGCCGUAUUAGCUAGUUGGUAAGGUAACGGCUUACCAAGGCAACGAUACGUAGCCGACCUGAGAGGUGGACCGGCCAAACGGGAACUGAGACACGGUCCAGACUCCUACGGGAGGAAGCAGAGGGGAAUCUUCCGAAAUGAGGAAAGGCCUGACGGAGCAACGCCGCGUGGGUGAGGAAGGUCUUCGGAUCUUAAAACUCGGUUAUUAGGGAAGAACAAAGGGGUAAGUAACUGUGCACGUCUUGACGGUACCUAAUCAGAAAGCCACGGCUAACUACGUG
rnacentral:rRNA from 1 species